UACAGAGGUCUCAAGCGUUGUUCGGAUUCAUUGGGCGUAAAGGGUGCGUAGGCGGCGCGGUAAGUCGGGUGUGAAAUCUCGGAGCUUAACUCCGAAACUGCAUUCGAUACUGCCGUGCUUGAGGACUGGAGAGGAGACUGGAAUUUACGGUGUAGCGGUGAAAUGCGUAGAUAUCCGGAGGAACACCGGUGGCGAAGGCGGCUUCCUGGACCGAUACUGACGCUGAGGCGCGAAAGCUAGGGGAGCAAACGGG
rnacentral:rRNA from 1 species